CUCUGGGUAGCUCAGUUGGAAGAGCGUCAGACUGUAAUGGAUAACUCUGUAUCUGAAUGUCACUGGUUCGAUCCCGGUCCCGGAGA
rnacentral:tRNA from 1 species